rnacentral:rRNA from 1 species
GACGAACGCUGGCGGCGUGCCUAACACAUGCAAGUCGAGCGAUGAAGCUCCUUCGGGAGUGGAUUAGCGGCGGACGGGUGAGUAACACGUGGGUAACCUGCCUCAUAGAGAGGGAUAGCCUUCCGAAAGGAAGAUUAAUACCUCAUAAGAUUGUAGUUUCGCAUGAAACGGCAAUAAAAGGAGCAAUCCGCUAUGAGAUGGACCCGCGUCGCAUUAGCUAGUUGGUAAGGUAAUGGCUUACCAAGGCGACGAUGCGUAGCCGACCUGAGAGGGUGAUCGGCCACAUUGGGACUGAGACACGGCCCAGACUCCUACGGGAGGCAGCAGUGGGGAAUAUUGCACAAUGGGGGAAACCCUGAUGCAGCAACGCCGCGUGAGUGAUGACGGUCUUCGGAUUGUAAAACUCUGUCUUUGGGGACGAUAAUGACGGUACCCAAGGAGGAAGCCACGGCUAACUACGUGCCAGCAGCCGCCGCGGUAA